rnacentral:rRNA from 1 species
AGUGAACGCUGGCGGUAGGCCUAACACAUGCAAGUCGAACGGCAGCACAGUAAGAGCUUGCUCUUACGGGUGGCGAGUGGCGGACGGGUGAGGAAUACAUCGGAAUCUACUUUUUCGUGGGGGAUAACGUAGGGAAACUUACGCUAAUACCGCAUACGACCUACGGGUGAAAGCAGGGGAUCUUCGGACCUUGCGCGAUUGAAUGAGCCGAUGUCGGAUUAGCUAGUUGGCGGGGUAAAGGCCCACCAAGGCGACGAUCCGUAGCUGGUCUGAGAGGAUGAGCAGCCACAUGAGGAGUGAGACACGCUCCACACGACGGCGUGCGGCAGCAUGGGGCAUACUAGGCCGAGCGGCGCAGGGAGUGUCCCGCCGUGCGGGGGGGCUGCGGACGGCCUUGUGUUCGGCAGGCGUUUUGGUGGGAAAAGAACAGCUGCUGCUUACUCCGCGGGUGUUAUGACCGUACCCAAAGAAUACGCCCCGGCUAAUUGCGUGCCAGCAGCCGCGGUAAGAAUCGAAGAGCACCCGUCUGAUC